rnacentral:snRNA from 1 species
UAUUACAGUGUAGUUGAUUUACAAUGAAAAAUAUGGAAUGCAAAAAAGAGAAAAAAAAAGGAAGGGAGUUCCUGUUGUGGCUCAGUGGUAAUGAACCGGACUAGUAUCCGUGAGGACACGGGUUCGAUCACUGACCUCUCGCUCAGUGGGUUAAGGAUCUAGUGUUGCCUUAAGCCGAAGCAUAAGUCGCAGACAUGGCUCAGAUCCUGCAUUGCCGUGGCUGUGGUGUAGGCCAGCAGCUGCAGCUCUGAUUCCACCCCUAGCCUGGGAACUUCCAUAUGCCAUGAGUGCGGUCCUAAAAAAAAAAAAAUGGAAUGCUUCAGGAAUUUGCGUGUCAUCCUUACACAGAGGCCAUGCCAGUCUUCUCUGGAUCCUUCCAAUUUUAGUGUAUGUGCUGCCAAAGCGAGCACUUACUUUGUUUUUAUAAUGAAAGAACUUUGGAAUUUUCUCAAAUGAUGUUUCUGCCUCAGUUGAAAUGAUCAUGUAGGUUUGCAUUUUUUUCUAGUAAUAUGGUGCAUUAAAUCAAUUGGCUCUGACAUGUUAAGCCAACUUGCAUUCUUUAGAGUCUCCCAUUUGCUAAUGGUGUACAGUCCUUUUUAUAUGCUACUGCUUGAUGUUUUGUUGAGAGGAGUUACUUCUUAUUUAUAAAAGAUGUUGGUCUGUAGUUUUCUUGUGAUAUCUUUGUCUAGUUUUGUAUCAGGGUAGUACUGGUUUCAUAGAAUGAGUUGAGUGUUCCUCUCCUUUUUUGAAAGAAUUUGUGCAGCAUCGGUAUGUAUGAUUCUUUAAACGUGUGGUAGAAUAUGCAUCACUGAGGCUACCUGGGGCUGGAUGUUUCUUGAGGCAGUUUUAAAAUUACAAUUCAAGCUCUUUACCUGUUACAGGUAUAUUUGUUUUACUUCGUAUGUCAAAUUUGGCAGUUUGUGUCUUUCUAGAAAUGUGUCCAUUUCACUUAUGUUAUAUAAUUUAUUGACUUACCCUUGCUCUUAUAACGCUUUUUAUUUCUGUGAGGAUAAUAUGAUGUCCCCUUUUUUAUCUUCUGAUUUCUUUUUCUUUUUUUUGUCUUUUUAGAGCCUCAUCUGUGGCAUAUGGAGGUUCCCAGGCUAGGGGUCCAGUCGGAGCUGAAGGCACCAGCCUACACCACAGCCACAGCAACGUGGGAUUGGAGCCACGUCUGCAGCCUACACCACAGCCACAGCAAUCUGGAUCCUUAAUCCACUGAGCAAGGCCAGGGAUCGAGCACGGAACCUCAUGGAUACUAGUUGGGUUCAUUAACCACUGAACCACGACAGGAACUCUUAUCCCCUGAUUUUAAUAAUUCGAUUCUUCUCUCUUUUUUUCUUCAUCAGUGUAGCUAAAGGCUUAUUAGUUUUAUUGAUCUUUUCAUAGGACCAGCUUUUCGUUUGUCCAUUUUCUGUAUUAGUUUUCUAUCUUUUCCAUUUAUUUUUGCUUUAUUUAUUAUAUCUUUCCUUCUGUUGGAUUUGAGUUUAUUUUGCUCUUUUUAUUUCAUAUUAUUUCAUUUUAUAUAUUUUAUUUAUUUUUUUUAUUUUAUUUUGUUUUUGGUCUUUUUAGAGCCACACGCCCAGAAUAUGGAGGUUCCCAGGCGAGGUAGGGGUCCAAUCAGAGGUAUAGUCACCAGCCUACACCACAGCUACAGCAACACCAGGUCCGAGCUGCAUCUGUGACCUAGACCACAGCUCAUGGCACUGCCAGAUCCUUAAGCCACUGAGCAAGGCCGGGGAUCGAACCUGAGUCCUUGUGGAUCCUAGUUGGGUUUGUAACCUGCUGAGCCAUGACGGGAACUCCCUGUUUUCUUUUAAAGGUAACAAGUUCCCUCGUGGCUUAGCAGGUUGAGGAUCUGGCAUUGUCACUGCUGUGGCUUUGGUUACAGCUGUGGUGGGGGUUCACUUCUGCAUAUUUCAAGCUCAGCCAAUAAAUAAAUAAGUUAAUAGGUUAGUUUACGAAUUUAAGCUCUUUCUUCCUUUCUUUGUUUCUUUGCUUUGCUUUGCUUUUUAGAACGGCUCCUGAGGCAUAUGGAAGUUUCCAGAUUCCCAGGCUAGGCCUUGAAUAGGAGCUACAGCUGCUGACCUACACCACAGCCACAGCAACCCAGGAUCCGAGGUGAGUCUGCCGCCUACGCCACAGCUCACCGCAGUGCUGGGUCCUUAACCCACUGAGCGAGGCCAAGGAUCAAACCCACAUCCUCCUGGGUACUAGCUGGAUUUGUUCCUGCUGCGCCGCAACAGGAACUCCCUCUUUCUUUUUUUUCCUAGAGACAGUUAUAGCUGUAGAUUUCCCUCUAAGCACUGCUUUAGCUGCAUUCAGUAAGUUUUUAUAUUUUUCAUUUUCAUUUCGUUCGACUUAUUUUGUAACAUCUCUUGUGAUUUAUUCUUUUACUCAUGGAAUUAUUUAGGAGUGUGUUGUUUAAUGUAUUGAGUUCCAGUUUCUUCCAUUGUGUUCAGAGAACAUACUUUAGGUUAUUUCAAUGUUUAAAAAUGUAUUGGUGCUUCUGUUAAUGGCCUAAUGGUAUGAUGUUGUUGUUUGUUGAUGGGUUCUGCAGAUAUCUGCUUGGUCUAACUGGUUUAUUUAUAGAGUUUUGUGCAAGUCAUCUGUCUCCCUGUUGAUCUUCUGACUAAUCGUUUUUGGUAGGGGUAUUGAAAUCUCCAACUGGAGUUCCCGUCGUGGCGCAGUGGUUAACGAAUCCGACUAGGAACCAUGAGGUUGUGGGUUCGGUCCCUGCCCUUGCUCAGUGGGUUAACGAUCCGGCGUUGCCGUGAGCUGUGGUGUAGGUUGCAGACGCGGCUCGGAUCCCGAGUUGCUGUGGCUCUGGUGUAGGCCGGUGGCUACAGCUCCAAUUCGACCCCUAGCCUGGGAAUCUCCAUAUGCCGCGGGAUCGGCCCAAGAAAUAGCAACAACAACAACAACAAAAGAGAGACAAAAGACAAAAAAAAAAAAAAAAAAAAAAAAAAA